GCAACAUCCAAGGGGUUGGAGAGCAACAUGUUGCUCAAGAGCUACUGUUUUGGGAUCACUGCUUUAGGUAUUGACCACAUGGGUUAGGAGUUGCUCAUAUUAUUCCAGUUGGGAGGUGGAACUGUUUACCAUUCCAGGUAUUUCAGUAGUUGGCCCGAGGGUGUCAGGAUUCACUAACCUUUAAAAGGGAAAGCCACCAUGUGCCCAGUCUCUUUCUUUGGACCCUAUAUACUGGAGGGGUGGUUGGUGCUAGAAGAGCCUGAGGUGGAGGUAGGCCUCAGUAGGAGAACAUUAAGAGUUAGGAGAGUUCUGUAAUAUCUCACUAAAGGAGUGUGAGGGAGGAUUUGAGUAGUUAUUUGAGCAGCCUGAGGUUCCAGAAGGGAGACCAGAAAUGGUUAGUACCCUGGGUGUCACCACUAUAGGGACACACGUAGUCAAGCUCAGAAUUAGAAGUAAGGCACCACUAUGAGAGCUAGGGACAAGUUCACCUAUAAGUGAGUACUUACUACCUCUGCAACUGCUAUGCCCGUGUGGAUGACACUGUCUAAGGUAUUUGUUAAGUGACUGCAUCAUCCGAGCAGUACCACCACAUUGGUGUAUAAUUGUAUCGAGGAAAUAAAGAGUUAUCAUUUUGUUGCAAGAAGCACCGGUGCCAAAGUUAUUGUGGGAUCAGUGUGUGAUUCUCAUUCAACCACCAUUACAGUGAGGGCCCACCUGAGCGACAUGCACUCUACCAGGAGUUGCAACUGGCCUAAUCUCUCAGGUUGAGUAGGAAUAAGUAAAGUACUACUAGCGGAGAUUAGUCAUCUGAUAAAUAGUGUUAUUUAUACAUCAUUCUUUGUUGUAUUGUGUGCAAAGUACCUGGACUACAGGUCCAUGGGAGUCGUGGAAUCGACACUUGCCUCUAAGGGCUUUCUCAGUGUCUUGCACCUACACAUCUAGUCAACUGAACACUUAGAAAAGUGCUUUAUAUGUCACAGGGGCAAUGUAGAGGCCCAGAUCUGACUCCUGAACUGCACCAGCCACAGUCCCCAACCCCUUAAUGAAAUCGCCUCUUGUGCUGUUGGGAAAUUAGAUUUUGAGCAAUUGAGACAAUGACUAAUAAUUAAACUUUCUAUGAGUAAAGCUGGCCAAAUACUAUGAGUGAGGUCACCAAAAAUGAGUGGAUCUUUCCCCCUGAUAUGUCCAUUUAAGGUGGGCGAUCCAAUCCAAUCACUGACUCUAGGGUAAAACACUCAUAUUACAAUGGGAAUAGGAGCCAUUAAAACAAGGACCACAUUUCCUAGAAGAUACAGUCCUCAAUCCAACGGGAAAAUCAAACAAGCUUGAUUGACAUCUGGUCAGUUUACAGCCAGAUAUAAAUUGGGUGGGCCUGUCGGAGGACACCAUACAUGUUCAGAUACUGUAAUCUGCCUGUGUAUAGUCAUCUUAAAAUGUCAGCGCUAUAAAGAUAAAGUAUAAAAACACACAAUAUUUUCUCUUCCUACCUUUGAUCGUCAGGGACACAAAAGCCAAUAACUUUUACUAAAUAUUUAUUGUACAUUUCAAUUGCACAUUUAAUGUGAACUGCAAUUAAAAGGGAAGCUUCUAAAAUAAACUCUUCCAGCCACUGCAGUUACCCCAGUUACCGGCUGGAUCCUUCUAAAAAGGAGAAGCUUGGUCUCAUUAGCUACAUUUUACUUCACAAAAAGAGAAAAUAUCAGUGUUACCCAAUUCAUAGCCUUUUCUCAUAAAGGAAUUCUUGAUGCUCAGCAGGCAGAGCACUGCUUCAUGGGACUCUCUCAGCUGGGACCUCAUGGGAAUAAUGGAGGUAAAGGGUUUUCAAGAUGAGCUGCAACUCUUGUGUGCCAGUGGUUCUCCUUGUUUAAGGAAAAAAGUUACUACACUGUCAGUACACUGGAUAUACAUACUAGAUCAUAGACUUAUCAUAACUUGGCCAUUUCACAUGGAUAUUAUUCACACCCCAGAUGUCCAGCCCCCAAAAUACCAGGAUCUCUCCGUCUGCCCCAAGGGAUCUCACAUUCUACCCUGGGUCCUACCAACUGAAGUCUCCUCAGAAUUACCCCAGUCUACCAACUAACUCUGUCUAUCUCACACACCUAGAGGAAGCUAUGACAUUAGUUCACUUAGGUCACUUACUAUGAGCCAUCAUUCAAGGUCUCUUUCCUCCCCUACCUUAGGAUCCAGGCUUCUCCAUCCUGAUGCUCCUAGCUUCACACUCCCAAAAGACUCUAUCUCCCUCCCUUGAGUAGAGUCCAACAAGAAGCAUGCCUUCACUUAUAUCCAUAACACCCCUAGGCACGUCCCUGCCACCGAGUAUAGGUUAAAGUACAUAAAGGUGUCCCCACCAGUAUGGUAGGCUUACUCUAUUGCAUUCAUAAAUGAGGCUUCUGAAGUCUCUAUAGUGUGCUAGAAAUAACGAGAAAAGGAAGACAACAGUAAAAGCAACAGGAAGAAUAAAAAGUAAUAAGAAUAAAAUUACUGAUGUCCAGCAGUAAUUAAUACUACUCAAUCCCUACUUGGUCUACAAGUUACUGAAACUAAAAAUGAUAAGGGAGCCUCAUACCCUCCCCAAAUAAAAGAUCACCAAUAGCCCUGCUUUAUAAGAGUUAAAUCAUUUAGAGAAAGCUUUGAGCCUGAUGAGAUUCCAUAGGGAUGAGCUCAGCAGUGGAUCUUACUUUCACCUUCCAUGGGACUAAAGCAUAAAUACAUGUAAGGGUCUUUGCCUCCCUUAUUAUAUUCCCACCCAGGCCCGGACUGGCAAUCUGUGGGUUCCGGCAAAUGCCAGAGGGGCUAGUAAAUGGUGCCAUAGAAAGUCAGUAUUUAGUGGGCUGGUCGGGACUGUUUGGGCCUCUGUGUGGGGUGACUGGGCCUCUGUGUACCUGAAAUGCCAGGGCCUGUUUUGACUCUCAAUCCAGACCUGUUCCCACCAGCUGCAGCAGGAGCAGACAACAAAACAUGAACGGAAUCAGGGACAACAAAACAUGAACGGAAUCAGUGAAAUGACAAAUUACAUGAAGGGCUUCAGCCUCAAUGACUGUCCAAAAGGCAAUCAGGGCCACAACUGAGUCUUCCUCCAGCUCUUUGUAUUUUUAGGACACGGCAAAUCCUCCUUCAUCAACACCUGCAAGUUUGUCUUGGAAGAUGGGGAGUACCACCACAACUACACAAAUUCAAAAGUAUCACAGGGUGGUGACACUAAAGGCAGAAUAACGUAUCUGCUGACCAACACCAUGACUGGUGCACAACCGUGGCUGCACCGUGAUGAACGCUUAUGAAACUGGAGAGAUUUAUGCCCAGCUGGAAAUACGGCCUGUCGUUGUCUUCACCCAUAAGAUUCAACGGGACGUGAAUGAUGUGGAGAGAACAUUUAAAAACAUGGGUGUGGAGUGGGUAUUUUCACUCGAAAAUUUCACCCCUGAAGACCAUAUAAAGACAAGAGGAAGACACAAGGAUGUCCUACGGUUCUUCUGCGAAGUGAUUAAAUAUGUUGGGUUUCACCUGGAGCAAAUCGGGGAUCCGGUUAUGAGAAGGGAGCAACAGAAGCUAAAGAUGUUCAGAUUCAUAUCUGACAGAAACAUGAGAAAGAAACAGGAGGAGAUAGAAAUGAGAAAGAAAGAGCAGGAGAUACAGAGACAAUUGAAAGAGAGGGAGUAAAAAAGAGAGAAAGAAGACAGAGAGUUUUAGACUUUCUCUUAUUUGACCCUUUACAUAAACUUUUUUAAAGGUUUUUAACACAAAAAAUGAAUGAUCUGUAUAUAUUAUAUAACAAAAUGUAAAAGUUGACUGUAUAUUUAAGAUGUGAGGUUCUGUUAUAUUCAAAAUUUUAUCUAAAAUUAUUCAUAUCUUUACAAGCGUUCGACAAGUAGAACAAUGUGUUGACUCCCAUUUGAUGUAAACAAAUAAGCAUUGCUGUGCUUGACCUUUCCCAUUAUUUCCUCUAUGCAUUUGAUAGUAUCGAUUUGAAACUAUUUUGGGAUUUCUUGUUUUGGUUAAAAAAGAAUCAAUUGUUCUGAACCUAUCUCAUCAAGGUCAAUUGUCUAAGAGGGUUAGUUGAUUAUGAUUAUUGAUCAAAUCAACGGGAAAACCAAAUGAAAUUAAAUUAAAAAAAAAAAUCAUGGCCUUCUAUGGGAUUUCACAGGUUAUUUUUGGGGUCUGAGAUAAUGAAUCAUGGAAAGACUGGAUAAAUUAAUGUGAGCUGAUUUCAUUAAAAUUGGUUCUCAACCAAUGAACCAUGGGAUGUUUUUUUUAUGAGUAGUGAUGGGCGAAUCUGACCUGUUUCUCUUCCCUGAAAAUUUGCAAACAAUAUUUUUUGACGCAUGGCAAUUUUUCUGUGCGAAGCAUGGUGAAAAUUUUUACUCGCCACUAAUAAUGAGAAAUUUAUAAGAGAUCAUUUAUAUUGCAAAAUUCAAAGUUGUGAUUGGCUAUCCCCCUCCUACUGUGCAUCUGGCAGGAAGACCUCCGUUCUCUGGAUUUGACCCUAGUACCACUAGACAGUCUGAUGCCAUGUCAGGUUGCAAGGUCUUUCUCCCUGACAUUCUUGAAGAGACGUUGGUCAAAAAGGUUUGUUGGUGAAGGUUCUCAUUCAUUCAAGUCAUGGUAUAUCUAUAGUAAAAAGUCAAAUCAACUGGACUUGCUGUAUCCCCUCCCCCAUUCCUGUUUUCCUUGAAGAUGUAUCACUAUUCCUCUGACUGGCUUUCUCAAGUCAGAAUGACCUGUACAAAAAUAUUUGUGGUUAUAUACCCUGGAAUCUUUUUCCAAUCAGCAUAAUCUGUAAAACCAGCAUGGGGUCAGAGAGCUCAAAGAGGCAAGAUGUUGAUUGUAUCAGUAUGAUUGAAGCUAUGAGGCUAUGAGGUUAAACCGUCCGGUGAAAGGUUCUAAAACAGCAUUGUACAUGGCCAACAAUGGGUGUUGCUCUCCCUGCCUCUGUUCAAACUUGGUUUUUCUGUUUUCACAUAUAUGGCUUAUUUGACCCCUCUUCUGAACCAAUCCUCCUCCCUGUUCAGAUUGUAAACGUGGCAAUCUUCAAACAUGUGUCAUGCAUUUAAACUUCCCCCCCCCUCUCUGGGGUUCUCACCAUUCAGAGCAGCUUUCACACUCUGGAACAUUCAGGCUUUCCACUAAGCCCUUAUGACUUUCCCGUCUAGGGAUACAAAUUUACCAGCUUCUGGCCUGGCUCACCUUCUGGCAGCACCACACCUCCCUCCAACACAAGAAGGUGUCUGCAGGGCCUCACACUCUCCUACAGAACAAGGAGGUCUCCAGGGACCUCACACUCCCCCUCCAACACAAGGAGGUGUCCAAGGGGCCUCACACCCUCCUACAGAACAAGGAGGUCUCCAGGGACCUCACACUUCCCCUCUAACACACGGACAGUGUCGGACUGGCCCACCGGGAUACCAGGAAUGCCCUUAUGACUUUCCCGUCUAGGGAUACAAAUUCACCAGCUUCUGGCCUGGCUCACCUUCUGGCAGCACCACACCUCCCUCGAACACAAGGAGGUGUCCGCAGGGCCUCGCACCCUCCUACAGAACAAGGAGGUCUCCAGGAACCUUACACUCUCCCUCCAACACAAGGAGGUGUCCACAGGGACUCACACCCUCCUACAGGACAAGGAGGUCUCCAGGAACCUCGCACUCUCCCUCCAACACAAGGAGGUGUCCACAGGGGCUCACACCCUCCUACAGAACAAGGAGGUCUCCAGGAACCUCACACUCUCCCUCCAACACAAGGAGGUGUCCGCAGGGGCUCACACCCUCCUACAGAACAAGGAGGUCUCCAGGGACCUCACACUACCCCUCCAAUACAAGGAGGUGUCCGCAGGGCCUCACACCUCCUACAGAACAAGGAGGUCUCAAGGGACCUCACACUCCUCCUCCAACACAAGGAGGUGUCCACAAGGGCUCACAUCCUCCUACAGAACAAGAAGGUCUCCAGGUGCCUCACACCUCCCUCCAACACAAGAAGGGAUCCAAGGACACUGAGGUGUAGACCCACGCCUUUUAUUUGCCACUCAGCUAUCUCUAGCUGGGCAACUAGAAAACCCUCAAUGGAGUAUGGAAUGGAGGGCCCACUCUGCGCUAUUCCAUUUUCUCCAGGGGCCCAUCUAUUUGGUUUUUCCUAACCCUGCAAAAUAAAAACCUUACUUGCUGCAACAACACAAAUGUUCCCUGGAAUUAACUGUUUACCAGGUUCAACACUCAACAAUGAUCAUUUCAAGCAAAUCUCUUACACUAUAGAUAUAAGUAGGUGCUUUGUUUCGAUUCAAAUAUCAUCUUUGUCUUUAAAAUGCAAUUUAUAUAAAAAUCUUGCAACAUUACUUGUCACUACCCGCUGCCAGUUUUCUGUGAUUUCAAUGUGUCAAGCUAUUCUAUUCUGUGUUUCCCAAGCUUUUUAAUCAUUAAACUAACCAUGUGCUUUACUGUUUAUUUUUCUGCGUAAAGAAGAGCAGAUUUCCAUUUCUUUGUGUCAGAGCAUUUUCUGGGGAAACAGAAACCAGAGUUGACUUGAUACCAGGCAGGAUAAACAGGAUCUGAAAUAAAGGUAGAAGGGAUGAGUAAGUUGCUGGACAGUAGGAGUAGUAAAUCUAAACACCAAAGCGUUCUGCUUUCUAAACUAAGGUCUGUUGGGCUUAAUGAAGUCGUUUGC